rnacentral:lncRNA from 1 species
CUAGUUAACAAAUAUGUCAUAUAAUAAUACCAUGUAAAGAAGAAUAAAAACCACAAAUAUGUUUCUGGUUCAAUUUGUUUGGCAUGAAUAUAUGCAAUUUUCGGAGUACAAUGAUUUGAAAAUGGAUAACCAUAAAACAUCUUAAGUUGCAUUGGUAAUUAAUUUGCAGAAAAAUAUUAUGCCCAACAAAACUGUGACAAUUUGUUUUCAAAUAUCUAGAUGUGCACUUUGUUGCCUAGUGUGUAGCUGAUAUGACAUUAUGACCUCUGAAUGAGGAAAAUAAAAAAUCAGAAUCAAAUUGAAAAAAAUACAUUUACAUCUGCUAACAAACACACACUAUCUCUAAUUUCAAUAUAACAUCAAAAUUAGAACACUCAAAAUUGAAAAAGUACCCUUGCGAAUCCACUGUCACAAUUGGGAACAAUUCAUCCACCUGAAAUCAAAAGUAAGUUAUAAGUACACCUAGAAGUAGGGCUACUAAAUUGGGGCUAUAGUCGACCCAUCAAAACAGAACUACUACUAAUUACUAAACUUACAAAACAACAAUAAAGCAACUUAUUCACAAAAAUCACAAGUCACAAGUGAUGUUUAUGAGUUUUAGAUAGGAGAAAAGACAGAUAUCACCUUAUUCACAGGAAAUAAGGAUAGUAGAGAGUAUCUGGAAGUAUUUUCUUGUGUUCUUGACAGAAAACGAAAGAUAAAAGUUUAGAGAACUUACGGUUCUUCGAGUGUUUCUUGACAAAAAUCGGGAGACGCUAUAUUAUUACGUAUCUAAAAAAGAGCGUCCUCCUGAGUCCUAACCAAUCGACGAUUGGGAAAUAUAAACUCCUCGUCUUCUACUUCUUUUACAUCUUGACUUUUGUUCUUCCUAGGCGACGCAAGAUUGGGAAUUGAAGAGUCGAAGCGAUCGACAUAGCCGAUUGGAGAUGUUGAAAUCGUUUUUUGGGCCAAAAAUACCUACAUGUUUGGGCUAAACUGAUGCCCCCUCCACUUUGCUGCCCUAUGGAUUCCCCAACUCGCCGAGGUAUUGGGCCGGCUCUGGUUAGUUACAUCACAUUAAAAAAAAAC